CCUAUGCUAUGUAACGUUAAUGAGGAUUUUUGAAGUAGCUUUUCUCUGAUAUUAAAACUUCUCUGGCGUCGGUCGAUGCACCGUCCUUGCGCGACGCAAGACAUGGAAAUUAACUUAAGGGUUUUAUAGCGCAGCGGUGCCGUUGUCGCGGUGUGAGCGCAGCGCACAUUGCAUCCUAUCUGUAAGCCUAGAUAAUGAUGUGGACAUCUACAAACAAAGCUAGACAACAAAGAACCAUGCCAGAAAAUAAUCCGCUUUCUCUAUGAGGCUGUGGCACAAUACACAAUGUAUCCCACAACUUCCGAAUAUGUUCAAGUUGUAAAAAUGCUGAUUGUGAAAUAUCCUUUCCUGAAGGAUCUCAAGGGAAAUGGUUAUGCACCAAGUGUUGUGUUGAUCCAUCCUCCAUUGAGGCUCACGUGAAGGUCUUGCAUAGCCAGUACCAGAAGAUGCAACCUGACUUCAGGAUUUUACGGGACCAAAUGCAGCAGAUGUUUGCAUGGCGGCAAAAGGAGAUUGCUGAUGGCAUGACUGUAGAGGACACAGUUAAGAAGUACCCUUUCCUAAGGACACCCACCGAUGACAUCGACCAUUGAUUUUAAGCUGGAAAUUGUUAUGAAGGAUGCACAACCACAUGUGUGCAAUAGUUUUGGGCACACUUUUUAGCCAGCUGCUUUGUGGAAGAAACCAAAACAAGUGUGUGGUGUGCACCUUUAACAGUACAGUACUUUAGCAGUACAUUCCUGGUGAAGCUUUCAUGACAGGGAAGAAUUUAUUGGGUCAAACUUGGUGAAUAUAUUGUACUUAAUAAGCAAGCAAAAACUAUUAUGUAACUGAAAUGUUAUUAAUAAUCAUUCAAAAUGUGACAGUGGAAAUAAAUUAUUCAAAUUUUAAUUGCUUUAUAGCAUGAAAACUAACAUGUAGUCUACAUACAAAUGUCACAUAUCUUCCAUAUGCCAUUAAGUAGCUGCUUAUUAGAUUAGUAUCAAGCUGCAUGAACUCUGAUACGGAAUAAAGCUUAAUGGGGUUUUUUUUCUGUAGUUGCGCGAUGUGUUGGAACGUAUCCAUCCAGCAACAGGGAACUUGUAUCAGCGAUUCAAUGAAGGCUUCAAAUGUAUUGUACCAAAGGUGCUUCACCUAGCUCAAGGGAAAUCCCCACUAUUCCACUUUACCUGGAGACAAAAGAAGAAGCUCUCACUGAGGAUCUUCCAGGUAUUUAUUAAAUGUUAAUGCCUAUACCAGUGUUUCCAAGUUGUGGGCCUUAAUAUGUCUUUAAUUCUAUUUUAGAUUUUUUAUUAUUCCUAUGUCAUGAAACGGUGUACUUCAAUUGACAAGGUGUUAAUUAACACUCAAUUUGCACAAGUUCUGUGGGAAAAUCCUCUUUUAUAUUGAAAUUGCUUACCUGAAAUUGACAUCUACACUGGACCAAAUGCAUAGUGAUGACUUUCAUAUUUACCUGGAAUGCUUCUGAAUUAGAAAAAUGGUGUUUAAAUAUCAAGUAUAUGUUAUGUCUUGAAGAUAUUGACUUUAGGGCACCCCUCAUCUUUCUACCUUACAUCUUCAAGGACUACAGUGAUUGCUUUAUUACACUUGGAGAGGUAUGUCUUGCUUGCUCAGAUCUCUUUUGUUCACCUCCAUAACACCAAAUACACUUGACAAACGUACUGAUACUGAGAAAGAAAAUCACAUUGUUAAUACUACAUAUCUCUACUUAAAGGAAUACUUAAUCCAC